rnacentral:tRNA from 1 species
GCCGGGGUGGCGGAACGGGUAGACGCGGCCGCCUUAAAAGCGGCUGUCCCUCAGGGGACGUCUGGGUUCGAGCCCCAGCCCCGGCA